CAGUAGCCGCGGGAAUACGUAGGUGGCAAGCGUUGUCCGGAAUUAUUGGGCGUAAAGGGCUCGCAGGCGGUUUCUUAAGUCUGAUGUGAAAGCCCCCGGCUCAACCGGGGAGGGUCAUUGGAAACUGGGAAACUUGAGUGCAGAAGAGGAGAGUGGAACUCCACGUGUAGCGGUGAAAUGCGUAGAGAUGUGGAGGAACACCAGUGGCGAAGGCGACUCUCUGGUCUGAACUGACGCUGAGGAGCGAAAGCGUGGGGAGCGAACAGGAUUAGAGACCCCUGUAGUCCCUGUCUCUUAUACA
rnacentral:rRNA from 1 species